rnacentral:rRNA from 1 species
GACGAACGCUGGCGGCAUGCUUAACACAUGCAAGUCGAACGGAAAGGCCCUGCUUUUGUGGGGUGCUCGAGUGGCGAACGGGUGAGUAACACGUGAGUAACCUGCCCUUGACUUUGGGAUAACUUCAGGAAACUGGGGCUAAUACCGGAUAGGAGCUCCUGCUGCAUGGUGGGGGUUGGAAAGUUUCGGCGGUUGGGGAUGGACUCGCGGCUUAUCAGCUUGUUGGUGGGGGAGUGGCUUACCAAGGCUUUGACGGGUAGCCGGCCUGUGAGGGUGAGCGGCCACGGUGGGACUGAGAUACGGCCAAGACUCCGACGGGAGGCAGCAGUAGGGAAGGGUGCACAAUGGGCGGGAGCCAAAUGCAGCAACGCCGCGUGCGGGAUGACGGCCAUCGGGUUGUAAACCGCAUUCGCCUGUGACGAGGCGUGAGUGACGGUAAUGGGUAAAGAAGCACCGGCUAACUACGUG